rnacentral:rRNA from 1 species
UACAGAGGGUGCAAACGUUGCUCGGAAUUAUUGGGCGUAAAGGGCGCGUAGGCGGCCUGCUAAGUCGGACGUGAAUUCCCUCGGCUCAACCGGGGAACUGCGUCCGAUACUGGCGAGGCUUGAAUCCGGGAGAGGGAUGUGGAAUUCCAGGUGUAGCGGUGAAAUGCGCAGAUAUCAGGAGGAACACCGAUGGCGAAGGCAGGUCUCUGGGCCAUAACUGACGCUGAGAAGCGAAAGCAUGGGGAGCGAACAGG